AUAUAUAUAAAUAUAUAUAUUUAUAUAUAUAUAAUCUAUGUGUGUCAAAGACUGAAUAUGUUUCCUGUGGAAUAAAAUAAAUGCAUCUGCUGAGGGACAGUCAGUGAGUGUGUCUGUGUCCAACUCUUCCUCACAGGUUAGUUAAUGACAGACAGUCAGUGAGUGUGUCUGUGUCCAACUCUUCCUCACAGGUUAGUUAAUGACAGACAGUCAGUGAGUGUGUCUGUGUCCAACUCUUCCUCACAGGUUAGUUAAUGACAGACAGUCAGUGAGUGUGUCUGUGUCCAACUCUUCCUCACAGGUUAGUUAAUGACAGACAGUCAGUGAGUGUGUGUGUGUCCAACUCUUCCUCACAGGUUAGUUAAUGACAGACAGUCAGUGAGUGUGUGUGUGUCCAACUCUUCCUCACAGGUUAGUUAAUGACAGACAGUCAGUGAGUGUGUGUGUGUCCAACUCUUCCUCACAGGUUAGUUAAUGACAGACAGUCAGUGAGUGUGUGUGUGUCCAACUCUUCCUCACAGGUUAGUUAAUGACAGACAGUCAGUGAGUGUGUCUGUGUCCAACUCUUCCUCACAGGUUAGUUAAUGACAGACAGUCAGUGAGUGUGUCUGUGUCCAACUCUUCCUCACAGGUUAGUUAAUGACAGACAGUCAGUGAGUGUGUGUGUGUCCAACUCUUCCUCACAGGUUAGUUAAUGACAGACAGUCAGUGAGUGUGUCUGUGUCCAACUCUUCCUCACAGGUUAGUUAAUGACAGACAGUCAGUGAGUGUGUGUGUGUCCAACUCUUCCUCACAGGUUAGUUAAUGACAGACAGUCAGUGAGUGUGUCUGUGUCCAACUCUUCCUCACAGGUUAGUUAAUGACAGACAGUCAGUGAGUGUGUCUGUGUCCAACUCUUCCUCACAGGUUAGUUAAUGAUGUUACUGAGUCAAUGUGAGCAGAUUGUGUCUGUAGACUGAAGAGAAUCAGAGUCUCACUGAUGGUGGAAAUAAAGGUUUUACUUCCUUAAAACA